rnacentral:rRNA from 1 species
UACGGAGGGUGCGAGCGUUGUCCGGAUUUAUUGGGCGUAAAGAGCUCGUAGGCGGCUUGGUAAGUCAGGUGUGAAAUCUCCACGCUCAACGUGGAGGGGCCACCCGAAACUGCCAUGGCUUGAGUCCGGUAGGGGAGUGUGGAAUUCCCGGUGUAGCGGUGAAAUGCGCAGAUAUCGGGAGGAACACCCGUAGCGAAGGCGGCACUCUGGGCCGGUACUGACGCUGAGGAGCGAAAGCGUGGGGAGCAAACAGG